UCAAGCGUAAAAGGGCAUUCAGGGGAUGCCUUGGCGCCAGGAGUCGAUGAAGGACGUAGUUGGUUGCGAUAAGCGACGGUUAGCCGCCAACAGGCUUUAACCCGUCGAUUUCCGAAUCGGAAAACCGGUCGUGUGGAAACGCACGUCAUCAUACGCUGAAUUCAUAGGCGUGUGAGGGUAACCAGGAGAAUUGAAACAUCUUAGUAUCCUGAGGAAAAGAAAGCAGAGCGAUUCCCUUAGUAGCGGCGAGCGAAAAGGGAACAGUCUAAACCGAAUGUGUGUCAAGCUCACAGGCGUUGCUCAUUCGGUGUUGUGGGAUUUAUCCGGACCGGGCUGUGGACAGGUCGGAGAGUUAUAAAAGUAUUAUCUAGCCGAAGGACCUGGGAAGGUCCGCCGUAGAGGGUGAGAGCCCCGUAGGCGAAAGGUUUUGCUCUCUCUGGGAUAAAUUCCCAAGUAGCGCGGGGCACGUGAAACCUUGCGUGAAUCUGGGUGGACCAUCAUCCAAGACUAAAUACUCCCUGGCGACCGAUAGUGAACCAGUACCGUGAGGGAAAGGUGAAAAGAACCCCUGUUAGGGGAGUUCAAAGAACCUGAAACUGGAUGCCUACAAUCAGUGGGAGCCCUAUGUUUUCGGACACGGGUGACCGCUUACCUUUUGCAUAAUGAGCCGGCGAGUUAUGGUGUGUUGCAAGGUUAAGCCUUUUGGUGUAGCCGAAGCGAAAGCGAGUCUUAAUUGGGCGAUUUAGUUGCACGCUGUAGACCCGAAGCUGAGUGAUCUAUCCAUGGCCAGGAUAAAGCGGGGGUAACACCUCGUGGAGGUCCGAACCAGUAUACGUUGAAAAGUAUUUGGAUGAGCUGUGGAUAGGGGUGAAAGGCCAACCAAACUCAGCAAUAGCUGGUUCUCCCCGAAAUAUAUUUAGGUAUAGCCUUAUGUAAUAAUCAGUGGCCGUAGGGCGCUGGAUGGACUAGGGGCCUCACCAGGCUACCAAACCCAACCAAUCUUCGAAGACCAUUGAUCGUAUCAUGGGAGUCAGACUGUGGGUGAUAAGGUCCAUAGUCGAAAGGGAAACAGCCCAGAUCGCCAGCUAAGGUCCCUAAGUGCAGACUAAGUGGAGAAGGUUGUAGAAAUGCAUAGACAGCCAGGAGGUUGGCUUAGAGGCAGCCAUCCUUUAAAGAUAGCGUAAUAGCUCACUGGUCAAGUGCAUCUGCGCCGAAAAUUCAACGGGGCUAAAGUCUGUCACCGAAGCUGCGGAUUUGCAGGAUUUCCUGCGAGUGGUAGGGGAGCGUUCCAUGUGGGAUGAAGGUCGACUGUAAGGACGGCUGGACUUCAUGGAAGUGAGCAUGUCGGCAUGAGUAACGAUAAAACGGGUGAGAAACCCGUUCGCCGAAAACCCAAGGGUUCCUGAGGAAGGGUAAUCCGCUCAGGGUUAGUCGGUCCCUAAGGCGAGGUCGAAAGGCGUAGCUAAUGGGAAACAGGUUAAUAUUCCUGUACUAUCUGUAUGGCGUUAUCACGAUGGGGUGACGCGGCAGGGUAGGUCAGCCAGGCGAUGGUCGUCCUGGUUUAAGCGCGUAGGAGGGUUUCCCAGGCAAAUCCGGGAAGCUAUUAACUCCGAGACGUUAUGAGGCCCUUAGCCUACGGGCAAGGGGUAACUGAUUUAUCCCAUACCGCCGAGAAAAACCUCUAAGGAGUCAUGCGGGUAACCGUACCCUAAACCGACACAGGUGGGUGAGGAGAGAAUCCUAAGGCGCUUGAGAUAACUCUGGUUAAGGAACUCGGCAAAAUAGCUCCGUAACUUCGGGAGAAGGAGUGCCCUCAUUACGUGAAAUCCUUCGCGGGUGGAGCGGAAGAGGGUUGCAGUGAAAUGGUAGCCGCGACUGUUUACUAAAAACACAGGUCUCUGCUAAGUCGUAAGACGAUGUAUAGGGACUGACGCCUGCCCGGUGCCGGAAGGUUAAAAGGAGAGGUUAGCUUUCGAGCGAAGCUUUGAAUUGAAGCCCCGGUAAACGGCGGCCGUAACUAUAACGGUCCUAAGGUAGCGAAAUUCCUUGUCGGGUAAGUUCCGACCUGCACGAAUGGCGUAACGAUGGCUACACUGUCUCAACCAGGGACUCAGUGAAAUUGAAAUUCCGGGGAAAGUGCCGGAUACCCGCGACUGGACGGAAAGACCCCGUGCACCUUUACUAUAACCUGAUACUGAAAUUUGACUCAUUAUGUGUAGGAUAGGUGGGAGGCUUUGAAGCCAGAGCGCUAGUUUUGGUGGAGCCAACCUUGAAAUACCACCCUUGAUGAUUUGGCUUUCUAACCUUGAUCCUUGAAUCAGGAUUAGGAACACUGUCAGGCGGGUAGUUUGACUGGGGCGGUCGCCUCCUAAAAUGUAACGGAGGCGCGCAAAGGUUCUCUCAGGCUGAUUGGAAACCAGCUGUCGAGUGUAAAGGCAAAAGAGAGCUUGACUGCGAGACUUACAAGUCGAGCAGGUACGAAAGUAGGCCUUAGUGAUCCGGUGGUUCCGUAUGGAAGGGCCAUCGCUCAACGGAUAAAAGGUACGCCGGGGAUAACAGGCUGAUCGCGUCCAAGAGUCCAUAUCGACGACGCGGUUUGGCACCUCGAUGUCGGCUCAUCGCAUCCUGGGGCUGGAGAAGGUCCCAAGGGUUGGUCUGUUCGCCCAUUAAAGCGGUACGCGAGCUGGGUUUAGAACGUCGUGAGACAGUUCGGUCCCUAUCCAUCGUGGGCGUAGGAUAUUUGAGAGGAUCUGUCCCUAGUACGAGAGGACCGGGAUGGACUGACCUCUAGUGUUCCGGUUGUUCCGCCAGGAGCAUCGCCGGGUAGCUACGUUGGGAAUGGAUAACCGCUGAAAGCAUCUAAGCGGGAAACCAACCUCGAGAUUAGAUAUCCCUAUUUAGACUCCUUGAAGACUACAAGGUUGAUAGGCCGGGCGUGGAAGCGCAGCAAUGUGUGAAGCUUACCGGUACUAAUAAGUCGAUUGGCUUGAU
rnacentral:rRNA from 1 species